AAUAGAUACCCGGGUAGUCCACCCCGUAAACGUUGGGAACUAGUUGUGGGGUCCUUUCCACGGAUUCCGUGACGCAGCUAACGCAUUAAGUUCCCCGCCUGGGGAGUACGGCCGCAAGGCUAAAACUCAAAGGAAUUGACGGGGACCCGCACAAGCGGCGGAGCAUGCGGAUUAAUUCGAUGCAACGCGAAGAACCUUACCAAGGCUUGACAUACACCAGAACACCCUAGAAAUAGGGGACUCUUUGGACACUGGUGAACAGGUGGUGCAUGGUUGUCGUCAGCUCGUGUCGUGAGAUGUUGGGUUAAGUCCCGCAACGAGCGCAACCCUCGUUCUAUGUUGCCAGCACGUAAUGGUGGGAACUCAUGGGAUACUGCCGGGGUCAACUCGGAGGAAGGUGGGGAUGACGUCAAAUCAUCAUGCCCCUUAUGUCUUGGGCUUCACGCAUGCUACAAUGGCCGGUACAAAGGGCUGCAAUACCGUGAGGUGGAGCGAAUCCCAAAAAGCCGGUCCCAGUUCGGAUCGAGGUCUGCAACUCGACCUCA
rnacentral:rRNA from 1 species